rnacentral:rRNA from 1 species
GGACGAACACUGGCGGCGCGCCUAACACAUGCAAGUCGAACGAGCGAGAGAGAGCUUGCUUUCUUGAGCGAGUGGCGAACGGGUGAGUAACGCGUGAGGAACCUGCCUCAAAGAGGGGGACAACAGUUGGAAACGACUGCUAAUACCGCAUAAGCCCACGGUGCCGCAUGGCACAGAGGGAAAAGGAGCAAUCCGCUUUGAGAUGGCCUCGCGUCCGAUUAGCUAGUUGGUGAGGUAACGGCCCACCAAGGCGACGAUCGGUAGCCGGACUGAGAGGUUGAACGGCCACAUUGGGACUGAGACACGGCCCAGACUCCUACGGGGGGCAGCAGUGGGGAAUAUUGCAAAAUGGGGGAAACCCUGAUGCCGCGACGCCGGGUGGAGGAAAAAGGUUUUCGGAUUGUAAACUCCUGUUGUUGGGGAAGAAAAUGGCGGUACCAAAAAAGGAAGUAACGGCUAACUACGU